rnacentral:lncRNA from 1 species
CUGAAAAUUAUGAAUUAAGAGGGGGUGUUGAAAAUAGUAAUUCAUAUUUUCAAUAAAGAAGUUGGAACAUCUUUCAAAGAUGAAGACUUGACUUGUAGAAGUCAAGAAGGUUUCUUGUAAUUUGUUAAGUCUUUUACAUUUCCUAAGAACUUGGGACUUGGAAUGGAGUGUCUCUUUGUAUCCAUUCCUACCUAUAAAUUGUACCCAAGAUGAGAUUUGUAA